AACGCAAAUUGCACUCCCUGGUAUUCCGGGGAGUAUGCCUGUUUGAGGGUCGUUAGAAUAAAAAUCGAUGCGUCGUUCUUUUUUUUAAGGGUGAUCGCGUCGGAAUUGAGCCGUCUUUCAAAUGUUAAUUCAUGUCAAAGUGGCUUAAAAUUCAUCCAUCCGGUACGAUUAAAGCGUAUUUAAGAACAAUUUUGAUUAAGAACGCGCGAUAACGUACCAUCUCAUGUAGUACGUUUGACUUGACGUCGUCAGGAUCAUUCGUAUACGAUACUCAACUUUUGACCUCAAAUCAGGUAAGAAUACCCGCUGAACUUAA
rnacentral:misc_RNA from 1 species